UUUCCGUAGGUGAACCUGCGGAAGGAUCCUUAUUGUAUAACCGAGGGGCGAGGGCUGUCGCUGACCCGAAAGGUCGUGCACGCCCGAGUGCCCUCACACACAUCCAUCUCACCCCUAUGUGCACCACCGCGUGGGUCCCCCUUUGGCUUGUUCGGAGGGGGGCUUACGUUUUCACACAAACUUUGUAUGCAGUGUAGAAUGUAUUUUUUGUUUUUGCGAUCACGCAAUCAAUACAACUUUCAACAACGGAUCUCUUGGCUCUC
rnacentral:misc_RNA from 1 species